AUUGAACGCUGGCGGCAGGCCUAACACAUGCAAGUCGAGCGGUAACACAGAGGAGCUUGCUCCUUGGGUGACGAGCGGCGGACGGGUGAGUAAUGCCUGGGGAUCUGCCCGAUAGAGGGGGAUAACUACGGGAAACUGUAGCUAAUACCGCAUAAUGUCUACGGACCAAAGUGGGGGCUCUUCGGACCUCAUGCUAUCGGAUGAACCCAGGUGGGAUUAGCUAGUUGGUGAGGUAAUGGCUCACCAAGGCGACGAUCUCUAACUGGUUUGAGAGAAUGACCAGUCACACUGGAACUGAGACACGGUCCAGACUCCUACGGGAGGCAGCAGUGGGGAAUAUUGCACAAUGGGCGCAAGCCUGAUGCAGCCAUGCCGCGUGUGUGAAGAAGGCCUUCGGGUUGUAAAGCACUUUCAGCGGGGAGGAAGGGUCACUAGUUAAUACCUAGUGGCAUUGACGUUACUCGCAGAAGAAGCACCGGCUAACUCCGUGCCAGCAGCCGCGGUAAUACGGAGGGUGCAAGCGUUAAUCGGAAUUACUGGGCGUAAAGCGCACGCAGGCGGUUUGUUAAGUCAGAUGUGAAAUCCCCGAGCUCAACUUGGGAACUGCAUUUGAAACUGGCAAGCUAGAGUCUUGUAGAGGGGGGUAGAAUUCCNGGUGUAGCGGUGAAAU
rnacentral:rRNA from 1 species